UGUGAAAAUGCGUGGCGAUCAUGUUGCAAACAACCUAAUAACCUGACAUGCAUUGAUGGGCAUACGUAUUGUGAUUGCCUUUGUGUACUUGCGCCGCACAUGAAACCAACGCCUUCUUGUCCUCCCGGCCGUUCUUGGUCUCGAACACGCUCUUGAACAAGUCUCGAACAUAUCAAGAAGUUUAUGAAGCGCAUGGUGUCAUUCGCUUUCUGUUGCGCACCUGCCAACUCCCACUUUACUUGCUUGUAUGCAAUAAAGUUGUUUU